UCUGUGUUACCCUUUCAGGGGCUGGAUGCA
rnacentral:piRNA from 1 species